UACGUAGGUGGCAAGCGUUGUCCGGAUUUACUGGGCGUAAAGAGCGCGCAGGCGGUCGAGUAAGUCGAAUGUGAAAGCCCCCGGCUUAACUGGGGAGGGUCAUUCGAUACUGUUCGACUUGAAGGCAGGAGAGGGCAGCAGAAUUCCCGGUGUAGCAGUGAAAUGCGUAGAGAUCGGGAGGAACAUCCGUGGCGAAGGCGACUACCUGGACCAGCACUGACACUGAGGCACGAAAGCGUGGGGAGCAAACAGG
rnacentral:rRNA from 1 species